rnacentral:rRNA from 1 species
GCGCAAGCCUGAUCAGCCAUGCCGCGUGUGUGAAGAAGGCCUUAUGGUUGUAAAGCACUUUAAGCGAGGAGGAGGCUACUUUAGUUAAUACCUAGAGAUAGUGGACGUUACUCGCAGAAUAAGCACCGGCUAACUCUGUGCCAGCAGCCGCGGUAAUAC